rnacentral:sRNA from 1 species
ACACCGUUGGCUCGUGCCGAAGUCCUGGC